GGGCCGUGGGCGCCCACGCAGGUGGGGACCGCGUGGUCCCGCCCCCCCGGCCGGGGUUCGCCGCCGGGUCCGCGGGGCUCUCGGCCGCCCCCAUCCCUUUCUCUUGCUUCCUCCUCCGCCCCUUCCGCGCCCUUGCAGUCCGCGAUUCCCCACCUCCCCUUCCCUCACCCCCUCUUCUCCCCACUUUCUCCCUUUCCUCCACGUCCUUUCUCCCUAACUCCCCUCCUUCUCCAUCGCUCCCUCCUGUAUCUCCCGCCAGUGCCCACCCUGCUGCAUGCCGUUCAUUCCCACUUCGCGCCCCGGCACUAGGCAGUGAGGUCACCUAUGAGUGUGUGGGCCUGUGUGAGGAUCCUGGUACCCCAUCACAGCUGGAAGGCUCUCAGAUCUUAGUUCGGCCAAAGGCACCUGGAGACCAAAGCAGGUCAGUAGGAACUCACUUCUGACCUGUCAUGGUCCUUAUGGGUACUUGGAAACCUGCCCCAGGGACUCUGCUAUGUUUACCAGAAUUACACACAGCCCACUCUUGCAGAUUCUGUAACCCGUCCCGCUGGGGCAAACCAGAAGAAUCACCAUCGUCACAAUGGAAGAACUGUCCCCGUGUCUGGGUGAAUCCGGCAGAUCAGCACAAGCCUUCUCCCCCUCUUGAUAGACUUCCAGCAUUUCUUAUGCCUCCCGCUUCAGCCUCAUCCCAAAUUAAGCCACAAACGGGCUCAGUGACUUCAGGGUCCUAAGCAGGCAGAAUUAAUGACGAAAAUAGAAAUGCUGAAAAUAGUGGAAACCGAAGCAGAUUGGAUGAUUUAUUCAAACCUUGGGGAGAAACGACUGUUCAGCCCCAAAUUGAAAUUUAGACCUGAGCUUUGUAAUCAACUAGGAUGCACCUCUUUCUGGCAUUAACCCCAAAAAGGAGAAAGGAGAGAAACACAACCCUGCUGGUGUCCUUGGGUCCGCCCUGUAUGUUGAUGGUCCAUGGAGAAGUUCCUGGCACUUCUUAAAGCUGUUCUUCAUGAAGCAACCUUUGAGGUCAGAGAGGCUUACAGCAUGGAGUUUAAGAGAGCAGAGAACGUGGAUUCUCCCCACCGAGGCUCUGGCGAUGAGCACACCUUGCCCGAUGUCUCAUUCUUAGAUGCCCAGAUGGUCACUCUCUCCCCUGGGAACCCUAAUGUGACUCUCAGAAGGUAACAGAGUUGUCUUCUGUCCCUCAGCCUCGCCUUCUCCACUCAAUCACCUCCCUGGCUUUCACUCCCCUGAGGGGGACUUCAGGGGCCUCCUUCUGCUGAAACUUGGUGGGAGAAAGCCCCAGCGGAGUUCCUGGCCCUGAAUUUGCAUAAACACCUUCCUCAUCUCAAAACAGUUACAUCUGUGUAUUGAUUCAUUUUUUCAAUGAGUCCAUGAAGUGGGUUCUGUGGUUGAAUCACAGGGCUUAAGAAGACAUGUGGUGUUCCGGCUCCCCAUCACACCUGUGGGUGUGGCUGUGUUUGGAGACAGGGGCUGUGUGGAUAGGGUCAAGGUCAAAUGAGGUCACGGGGUGGGCCCUGACUCCAAUGGCUGGGGGCCUGAUAAGAGGAGGGACACUUGGCCAUAGGUGUGCACAGGGGAGUGACAAUAAAAUAUGGAAGGGACAACCAUGGGAAGAUGGGAGUGAGGUCAGAGUCGUGAGGCCAUAAGACAGGGGAUGCGUGGAGCCAGAUCCUGCAGAGGUAAGGAAGGGUCCGCUCUAGAGGUCCAGGAGGGGGCACAUCUGCACACAGGUUUACGGGGGCCUUGGGGUAGGACUUCCAUGUUCCUGAACUGUAAGGAUAUGCUUCACUGUGGUUUUUCUUUUGAGACAGGUCUCCUGUACCCCAAGUUGGCCUCCAACUCUAUAUGUAGCUGAGAAUGACCUUGAACUCUUGGCCUUCCUGCUUUCAGCUCUUAAGUGCUGAGGUUCCCUGCGUAUUCCAUCAUACCUAUUAGUUUAUGCAAUCAGUGCUUGAACCCAAAACUCAAGACAGGCAGAUCUCUGUGAGUUCAACGCCAGCCUGUUUUACAAAGUGAGUUCCAGGGCAGCUUGGAUUGUUACAUAGAGAAACCCUGUCUCAGGGAAAACAAAAGACAAAACAAAACAAACAAACAAACAAACAAAAAAACUGAACCUAAGACUCAUGAUGCUAUUCAAGUGCUUUACCAACUGAGCUGUAUCCCAGCCCCAAAUUCCUAUUGUUCCAGCAUAUGAUCUUUUGCUUUAGAAAAUCUACAAAAGUAAUACAUAGUUAAGUUUGAUGUUAAAGUCCCAGUUUUUAAUCCAGUAUUAUUGGGCACUUACUGUGCACCAGACUUGGUGUUAAACUCUGGAACCCAAACCCAAGGCUAUAAAUAAUACAAAGCAAGCCAAAGUGCCCGAGCCAGCUGGUGACUUUCUGAACUUACUCCAUCGUGUGCCUUGGGCUCUCCAGUGUCCAGUGUCCUCACACCCACCCACCCCUGCCCAUCACCAAUGUCUGAUUUUUGUCAGUCUCUGAUUUGAAGCUACCUUGGAGGGCUAAGCCAGUCAGUCCCUGGUUUUGCGGGCCUGUAAACUGAGGUUGAAGGGGUACUACUCCCAGAAAAAGGGGGGCUGUGGGCUUCAACAUCUCUCCAUGCUUAUUCAUGCUACUAGUAAGCGCAACACAAAUAACUACUCAGUUAUGUGUGACUGGUCAAAGCCAUGCCCUCCCUAGCCUGGGGUCUUUGAAUGGAGAGCAACACCUUCAUGGAGAGAUGUGACCGCAGUGGAAGAGGCAUGCAGCUCCGGGGUCUUUCACUCCCCCUUUUGUCUCAGAGUCCUAAAGAAGUUCCCGUGUUGGUUCAAUACAGGACUGGCUCCUUAGAGAAUUCUGGAAGUGGGCCAAGGAAGAUCUCCCUCUCCUCUGUGCUUCGAGAGGCCACAAAAGCUGCGACCGAUGCCCUCCCAGAUGCAGAAGGAGUCGCUGGCCUCAUUAUAUGCAUGUACCACUACUGCUGUUUGAGACUCCAAUAGUGCUGAACAAUUCAGAAAUAGAUCCAUUAUAGGUCUGCUUUCGCCCCAGGGCCUUAACACAGGUCACCAGAAAAUCCAAGAUUUCACAGUCAGUCCAACUCUUAAGAGGGAAAGAAAAAAAUUCUCUGCAGCACUUCCGCUCCCACCCCCACCCCAGUCUACCGGGAGCCCCACUUCACUUUUUCUGCUGCUUUGGAAU